GACGGAGGAUGCAAGUGUUAUCCGGAAUUACUGGGCGUAAAGCGUGCGCAGGCGGUCUGUUAAGACCGAUGUGAAAUCCCCGGGCUUAACCUGGGAACUGCAUUGGUGACUGGCAGGCUUUGAGUGUGGCAGAGGGGGGUAGAAUUCCACGUGUAGCAGUGAAAUGCGUAGAGAUGUGGAGGAAUACCGAUGGCGAAGGCAGCCCCCUGGGCCAAUACUGACGCUCAUGCACGAAAGCGUGGGGAGCAAACAGG
rnacentral:rRNA from 1 species